GGGUUGUGAGGUUAAGCGACUAAGCGUACACGGUGGAUGCCCUGGCAGUCAGAGGCGAUGAAGGACGUGCUAAUCUGCGAUAAGCGUCGGUAAGGUGAUAUGAACCGUUAUAACCGGCGAUUUCCGAAUGGGGAAACCCAGUGUGAUUCGUCACACUAUCAUUAACUGAAUCCAUAGGUUAAUGAGGCGAACCGGGGGAACUGAAACAUCUAAGUACCCCGAGGAAAAGAAAUCAACCGAGAUUCCCCCAGUAGCGGCGAGCGAACGGGGAGGAGCCCAGAGCCUGAAUCAGUGUGUGUGUUAGUGGAAGCGUCUGGAAAGGCGCGCGAUACAGGGUGACAGCCCCGUACACAAAAAUGCACAUGCUGUGAGCUCGAUGAGUAGGGCGGGACACGUGGUAUCCUGUCUGAAUAUGGGGGGACCAUCCUCCAAGGCUAAAUACUCCUGACUGACCGAUAGUGAACCAGUACCGUGAGGGAAAGGCGAAAAGAACCCCGGCGAGGGGAGUGAAAAAGAACCUGAAACCGUGUACGUACAAGCAGUGGGAGCCUCUUUUAUGGGGUGACUGCGUACCUUUUGUAUAAUGGGUCAGCGACUUAUAUUCUGUAGCAAGGUUAACCGAAUAGGGGAGCCGAAGGGAAACCGAGUCUUAACCGGGCGUUAAGUUGCAGGGUAUAGACCCGAAACCCGGUGAUCUAGCCAUGGGCAGGUUGAAGGUUGGGUAACACUAACUGGAGGACCGAACCGACUAAUGUUGAAAAAUUAGCGGAUGACUUGUGGCU
rnacentral:rRNA from 1 species